UGAUACCCUAGAGAAGUUGUUUUCUAUUUUCCCAUCUCCUAUAAUCGCAUUAAUCGGUAACUUUGGUUGUUCGCAAAGAGUCAGUAUGGCAGCUAUUAUGUAUUUGGCAAUUGGACUACUCGAUUAAACUUUUGGAGACAAAUGAAAGGUCAAAUGGAAUUUGAACCAAUUGUAUGGUAUAUACAAUACCUAUAAUAUACGUAUAAUGGAUUAAUGUAUAAUACUGUACUUAUAUUGUUUAGUGAGUGCCAAUAUGUCAGAAACA